rnacentral:rRNA from 1 species
UUUGGCGAUAGCGAAGAGGUCACACCCGUUCCCAUACCGAACACGGAAGUUAAGCUCUUCAGCGCCGAUGGUAGUCGGGGGUUUCCCCCUGUGAGAGUAGGACGCCGCCAAGCA